rnacentral:misc_RNA from 1 species
AGUCACUUCAAAUUGUUGCCUCAUCAAGAGUUCUUCUGCAAGAGGUCACUUCCAUUGUCUAUUUCAGAUACCCAUUAUCUUCACAAUGUGGUGGGUGACACAGAAAUUAGGAAAGGGGAAGGGAUGCAAUUGGAUCAGCUUAUACAGGAUACUUCCUUGUCAAGAGAGACGAGUUCCCGCAUCCAGCCAUUUGACCUAGACGUUCUUGGUGAAGCUUUUCGACUACGUGAAGCGGCUCCAGUGGAUCUGCCUCCUUCUGAGAAAGGCAUCCCUACUGUAGCUGGAAAAUCCAAAAGUGAGUCGAAAGACAAGGAGAAGAAGCAUAAAAAGCACAAAGAUAAGGACAAGGAGAAGGACAAAGAGCAU